rnacentral:rRNA from 1 species
UACGAAGGGUGCAAGCGUUACUCGGAAUUACUGGGCGUAAAGCGUGCGUAGGUGGUUUGUUAAGUCUGUUGUGAAAGCCCCGGGCUCAACCUGGGAAUGGCAAUGGAUACUGGCAAGCUAGAGUGCGGUAGAGGGUAGUGGAAUUCCCGGUGUAGCGGUGAAAUGCGCAGAUAUCAGGAAGAACACCCGUGGCGAAGGCGGCUCUCUGGGACGGUACUGACGCUGAGACGCGAAAGCGUGGGGAGCGAACAGG